GAACAAGUGCUUCCUUUGGGGCUUCUGCCCCCACCCCAACGACCAUGGAGAGACUUGGGAUUGCUGCCUAGGUAGCUGGAAAACUGUCUCACUUCUUAAAUUUAUCCUUCUCAGAUCUGACGAUGUUUGAUGACUAGGGUGCAUCAGUUUGAUAACCCCAAUUCCAAGAUUACUGACAGUUCACUAAUAAGUUUCCUAUUAAAAUUACAGACAGCUAUGCCUCAUUCACAGACUUCAUGGUACAGGAUAGACUGGUUUCAAAUAUAACUCCAGAGGUUCAAAUUUUUAAUAUUGAUGAAUACAGCUUUGAUAAACCAAUACAACAUUGACUAAAAGCAAUUCUUAAGAGUCCUUGAAUUUCUAUGGAUUUUUAACCCUUUUGCCAUGAUGUAAAUCUAUUACAGCUGUCUUACAGAUACCUACAGGAAAAGUUCUGCUACUGCAUCAAAAAUCAGGUCUGAUAAAAAUUAACAGUCUUCAGAGCCCAUUCUGACCUCAUUCAUUUUCAAGAAUAUUUUGCAGUUUCCCUCCUCCUGCCUGGGCCAAUGGACUCUCCAGGUAUGCCAGCCCCUGCAACAUCUGUCACCAGCUUCGAGGUUGCCAACCCCAAACCGAGAAUGCCAAUUGGGAUGGAUAUACCUCACCUCCAGAGAAAUGACAGGUAUGAUGGCUGUUACAAUUCUGAAAACCACAUCAUUCAAUGUACCAAUGUACUGCCAGUACCACCUUUCCAGGCUCAGGAGGGCACCUGCCCAGCAACUGGAACCUGUUCACCCUUGCCUCUUCUGUACAACCAGGGCACUUCUCUGUUCCAUUCUUUUUUUAAAUAAAUAUUUUAUUUAAUAAUUAAUUUAAUUUUACAUUUCAGCCACGGAUUCCCCUGUCCUCCCUCCUCACACUCCCCAGCUUUCCCCCGCAAUCCACCCCCCAUUCCCAUCUCCUCCAAGGCAAGGUCUACUACCCUGGGGAUUCAGCCCAGCCUGGUAGAUUCAGUUGAGGCAGGUCCAGUCCCCUCCUCCCUGCACCAAGGCUGAGCAAAAUGUCUCAGCAUAGGCCCUAGGUUCCAAAAAGCCAGCUCAUGCCCCAAAGACAGGUCCCGGUCCCACUGCCUGGGGGCCUCCCAAACAGUUCAAGUUUAUCAACUGUCUCACUUAUCCAGAAGGCCUGGUCCAGUUCCAUGGGGGCUCCUCAGCUAUUGGUUCAUAGUUCAUGUGUUUCUACUAGUUUGGCUAUUUGUUCCUGUGAUUUUUCCAAUCAUGGUCUCAAUAUCUCUUGCUCAUAUAAUCCCUUCUCUCUCUCACCGAUUGGACUCCUGGAGCUCCACCUGGGACUUGGCCGUGGAUCUCUGCAUCUGCUUCCACCAGUCACUGGAUGAGAGUUCUAUCAUAACAGUUAGGAUGUUCGGCCAUCUGAUCACCAGAGCAGCAACCUCAAGGAACAGAUGCCAGAGAUUUCCACAAUGACAGCUAACAAUGCUUCUUCACUCAUGCCUCCCACCAUGUGUGACUCCUGGCUUUCCCCCUCCCCACUUCACCCUUUGCCAGCUUGAAGUAUUCUCAAGAAUUCAGCGCCCUUGUUCCCUCACUUGCUCCCAUAACUCACCUCUUUUUAUAAUAAUCAAAAUGGAGAAAUGUUAAUAUUCUGAUCCUGCCCCUUGGGGCUGCUGCCCUGCAUCCUGAUGUAGAAGCCUUUUCUUAAGGAUAAACUCCGUCCCUUCCUCUUUCCCCUUCUGCUUUUCCUCUCAUGAGAUUUGCACCCCUCUCUCUCCCUCUCCCUCUGUAUUCCUCUUUCUAUCUUUCUGCCUCUUCAUCUCUCUAUUAUAAUAAACUCUGCAUGUGGAUGCAGCA